UAUUAUUACUUUGGCAGAUUAGUGUAAUGAAUUUAGAAUUCAAGAAUGUAAGAUUUUACAGGUAAUA
rnacentral:tRNA from 2 species